GUGGGUGAGCCAAUGGUUAGGCGGCCGGUCUCCAAAACCGGCGGGAUGCAGGUUCGAGUCCUGCCACCCAUGCGA
rnacentral:tRNA from 1 species